UGUAGAUCAUGUGAUCUUUGAACGCACGAUUUGAAAGGAAAUCGUUAUGAGCGUCGGAACCGUAAAAUUCUUCAAUUCCACCAAGGGCUAUGGCUUCAUCGAGCCGGAAGAUGGCAGCAAGGACGUAUUCGUUCACAUCUCCGCCGUUGAGCGCUCCGGCAUGACCACGCUUUCGGAAGGCCAGAAGGUCAAUUUCGAAGUCGUCG
rnacentral:sRNA from 1 species